rnacentral:rRNA from 1 species
UCAGUUGUGAAAGUUUGCGGCUCAACCGUAAAAUUGCAGUUGAUACUGGAUAUCUUGAGUGCAGUUGAGGCAGGCGGAAUUCGUGGUGUAGCGGUGAAAUGCUUAGAUAUCACGAAGAACUCCGAUUGCGAAGGCAGCCUGCUAAGCUGCAACUGACAUUGAGGCUCGAAAGUGUGGGUAUCAAACAGGAUUAGAUACCCUGGUAGUCCACACGGUAAACGAUGAAUACUCGCUGUUUGCGAUAUACGGCAAGCGGCCAAGCGAAAGCGUUAAGUAUUCCACCUGGGGAGUACGCCGGCAACGGUGAAACUCAAAGGAAUUGACGGGGGCCCGCACAAGCGGAGGAACAUGUGGUUUAAUUCGAUGAUACGCGAGGAACCUUACCCGGGCUUAAAUUGCAGAUGAAUUAUGGUGAAAGCCGUAAGCCGCAAGGCAUCUGUGAAGGUGCUGCAUGGUUGUCGUCAGCUCGUGCCGUGAGGUGUCGGCUUAAG